CACUGACAGCGAAAGCUGACAUUUGCCAAGACAGGAGAUAUAAAAUG
rnacentral:ncRNA from 1 species